UCUGAGGCAAAAUUAAAAAAGCAAACACAGCUGAAUUACCUGAAGAGCCUGAAAAGAUUCCUUCUUUUCCACACUGUCAACACAAACCUGAGGCAAGAUGAUCAGGAUCUACAUGCGGAGUGCAAGCACUUUAUUGAGUACAUCGGGUCAGUACAGAAAAGCUGCUCCAAGCUCGUGAGUAAAGAGAUCACACAAAAGAGGCAUAACAUGCUAAUAGAAAAAAAUCAAAUCACAACAACAGACUGCUGGGCUGUGUUGAAGGCUGCCAACAAGGAC